UACGAAGGGGGCUAGCGUUGCUCGGAAUCACUGGGCGUAAAGCGCACGUAGGCGGCUUCUCAAGUCAGGGGUGAAAUCCUGGAGCUCAACUCCAGAACUGCCUUUGAUACUGAGGGGCUCGAGUCCGGGAGAGGUGAGUGGAACUGCGAGUGUAGAGGUGAAAUUCGUAGAUAUUCGCAAGAACACCUGCGGCGAAGGCGGGUUGCUGGGCUGACACUGACGCUGAGGCGCGAAAGCUAGGGGAGCGAACGGG
rnacentral:rRNA from 1 species